UGCCAAUGAUGAUGAUAUGGUUAUCGUGUAAUUUAUGACCCUCCGUGAUUACACACAUACCUCUACUGCCUUCCUUCUGAGGCU